rnacentral:lncRNA from 1 species
CUCUCCAGCUGCAACCACACCUGCACCUCAAGUGUGUUCACAAGUGGAGGAGUACUAAGCAACAGAAAAGCAAGAUGGUAAAGUCCAUCCCAGAAUGCCAGGCCAUAUUUAACUUUGUCAUUCCACAUGAGUACUGCGUGGAGUAGAAGGUAGCAGAAACUCAUUUCAGGAAUACAAGGAGAUGAAGAGUGAUAAGGCAUGUAGGUAUUUUAACGAAGAACAUGGAAGCUGCCCAUUUGGAGAGAAUUGUUCCAAGUCUGCCUACCCUGAUGGUGGUAAAAGGAGCCAGAGACAGAAAAUGGGAACAUAAACAGAUACAGGGCCCAAGGAAGGAACCAACUCUGGGAGCUCACUGAGGAAACAGAACAGCAACCCCUUUGACAACAGUGACAAGAGUCUGUCAUCUUUGAGAUAGGUGAGAUGCUGCUUAAGCUCUGUCUGCAGGUGGAGAUGAUGACCUGACAGUCUCUGAUGAUAAAUGCAGCUUGUUUCAUGAUAAGCUAGAUGAUUUUUACAAUUUGAA